UCCCGGUAAACAGAAACACAUGUUCUUUGAUUCCCUUUUGUUUCAAGAGGGAAGAAGAGAUUCAUUGUAAAGUUGAUUGAAUUAUUAUAAGAUUAUCCAUUGCUUAGAUUUUGCUGACUCGGCUCAUCUAACUAUAGUCAUGGAACAUGCUACUGGUAGAGAACUUUUUGAAAUGUGUAAUAUAGGAAGAUUCAGUGAGUACGAGGCACAUUAAUUUUGGUUUGUAAUAAUUUGAUAAUUGACAACUGAUGAUACAAACCUUCAAUCACUUUUACUUGAUAGUGUCUUUAGUUGAUGGAGGACGCCAUAGCCGGCGUGGUUGAUGAGUGAAAGGGACAAGAAGGGAAGGAAAAGCAGCACAAGGGAAAGCUUAACCGACGUUUUAAGAUUUAACGGCAGGGAUGAGGUUGCCCCAUUUUAAUUAUUUAGGUGCCCGAGCGAAUGCUGGUGGUUGUGACUCGUGCUCCUUAGUGCUCAUUUUCGUGCCUAUUGCCUUCAAGUUCGUGCUCUUCUAUCUCGCUUAUGGAGUUUCAGGUUCGGCCUUCGCAUCGAGCUUCGCUGUUGCUCGUGACCUCGUCUCCUCGCUGUCGCUAUCCUGAGUCCAGCACUGUCGUUCUCCUCAGCUAAUGUAUUCUGGUAUGAAGUAAUAUGAUCACUUUUUCUGUUGCUCUGUCUAUUCUCUGAUAGAGCUCUCCAAAUAGCCGAAUUUCCUCUCAAUUUCUGAAGCAUGGCUAGCUACCACUCAUUUCUGAUAGCCAAUGGUUAGGUCUGCUUUUGCCCUACCUCUGACAGC